rnacentral:rRNA from 1 species
AAAGGGAGCGUAGGCGGCUGAUUAAGUCAGCGGUGAAAGGUAGCAGCUUAACUGUUUUACAUGCCGUUGAUACUGGUUAGCUUGAGUUGACAGAAGGCAGAUAGAAUUCCUGGUGUAGCGGUGAAAUGCUUAGAUACCAGGAGGAAUACCGAUUGCGAAGGCAGUCUGCUGCAGUCACACUGACGCUGAGGCUCGAAGGUGCGGGGAUCAAACAGGAUUAGAUACCUAGU